rnacentral:rRNA from 1 species
AAGCUCGUAGUUGAAUUUCGGGAUCAGUAUGUUGGUCGUGCUUCGGUACGUACUGUCAUUACUGGUUUCUCCCUUCUGAAGAACCUUGAUGUCAUUAAUUUGGUGUCUUGGGGAAUCAGGACUGUUACUUUGAAAAAAUUAGAGUGUUUAAAGCAGGCAUACGCUUGAAUACAUUAGCAUGGAAUAAUGAAGUAGGACGUUUGAUUCUAUUUUGUUGGUUUCUAGGAUCGACGUAAUGAUUAAUAGGGAUAGUUGGGGGCAUUAGUAUUCAAUUGUCGGAGGUGAAAUUCUUGGAUUUAUUGAAGACUAACUACUGCGAAAGCAUUUGCCAAGGAUGUUUUCAUUAAUCAAGAACGAAAGUUAGGGGAUCGAAGACGAUCAGAUACCGUCGUAGUCUUAACCAUAAACUAUGCCGACUAGGGAUCGGAUGAUGUUAUUUUUAAUGACUCAUUCGGCGCCUUACGGGAAACCAAAGUGUUUGGGUUCCGGGGGGAGUAUGGUCGCAAGGCUGAAACUUAAAGGAAUUGACGGAAGGGCACCACCAGGGGUGGAGCCUGCGGCUUAAUUUGACUCAACACGGGGAAA